AUGCACGCUGGCGGCGUGCCUAAUACAUGCCAGUCGAGCGAACAGACGAGGAGCUUGCUCCUCUGACGUUAGCGGCGGACGGGUGAGUAACACGUGGAUAACCUACCUAUAAGACUGGGAUAACUUCGGGAAACCGGAGCUAAUACCGGAUAAUAUAUUGAACCGCAUGGUUCAAUAGUGAAAGACGGUUUUGCUGUCACUUAUAGAUGGAUCCGCGCCGCAUUAGCUAGUUGGUAAGGUAACGGCUUACCAAGGCAACGAUGCGUAGCCGACCUGGGAGGGUGAUCGGCCACACUGGAACUGAGACACGGUCCAGACUCCUACGGGAGGCAGCAGUAGGGAAUCUUCCGCAAUGGGCGAAAGCCUGACGGAGCAACGCCGCGUGAGUGAUGAAAGUCUUCGGAUCGUAAAACUCUGUUAUUAGGGAAGAACAAAUGUGUAAGUAACUAUGCACGUCUUGACGGUACCUAAUCAGAAAGCCACGGCUAACUACGUG
rnacentral:rRNA from 1 species